rnacentral:rRNA from 1 species
AACUUUUCAGCUAGAGUAUGAUAGAGGAAAGCAGAAUUUCUAGUGUAGAGGUGAAAUUCGUAGAUAUUAGAAAGAAUACCAAUUGCGAAGGCAGCUUUCUGGAUCAUUACUGACACUGAGGAACGAAAGCAUGGGUAGCGAAGAGGAUUAGAUACCCUCGUAGUCCAUGCCGUAAACGAUGUGUGUUAGACGUUGGAAAUUUAUUUUCAGUGUCACAGGGAAACCGAUAAACACACCGCCUGGGGAGUACGACCGCAAGGUUAAAACUCAAAUGAAUUGACGGGGGCCCGCACAAGUAGUGGAGCAUGUGGUUUAAUUCGAAGAUACGCGCAGAACCUUACCAACACUUGACAUGUUCGUCGCGACUCUAAGAGAUUAGAGUUUUCGGUUCGGCCGGACGAAACACAGGUGCUGCAUGGCUGUCGUCAGCUCGUGUCGUGAGAUGUUGGGUUAAGUCCCGCAACGAGCGCAACCCUCACUUUUAGUUGCCAUCAUUAAGUUGGGCACUCUGAAAGAACUGCCAGUGAUAAGCUGGAGGAAGGUGGGGAUGACGUCAAGUCCUCAUGGCCCUUACGUGUUGGGCUACACACGUGCUACAAUGGUAUCUACAACAGGAAGCAAGACUGCGAAGUUAAGCAAAUCCCUAAAAGAUACCUCAGUUCGGAUUGCACUCUGCAACUCGAGUGCAUGAA